CCUACGGGUGGCAGCAGUAGGGAAUUUUGCGCAAUGGGCGAAAGCCUGACGCAGCAACGCCGCGUGAUCGAGACGCCCUUCGGGGUGUAAAGAUCUGUCAGUGGGGACGAAACUUGACGGUACACACAGAGGAAGCACCGGCUAACUCCGUGCCAGCAGCCGCGGUAAUACGGGGGGUGCAAGCGUUGUCCGGAAUCAUUGGGCGUAAAGAGUUCGUAGGCGGCACGUAAAGUCUGGUGUGAAAGGCGGAGGCUCAACUUCUGCAUGGCACUGGAUACUUGCGAGCUGGAAUGCGGUAGAGGUGAAGGGAAUUCCUGGUGUAGCGGUGAAAUGCUUAGAUAUCAGGAGGAACAUCGGUGGCGUAAGCGGUUUACUGGGCCGUAAUUGACGCUGAGGAACGAAAGCCAGGGUAGCAAAUGGGAUUAGAUACCCCAGUAGUC
rnacentral:rRNA from 1 species